UACGUAGGGUGCGAGCGUUAAUCGGAAUUACUGGGCGUAAAGCGUGCGCAGGCGGUUUGUUAAGACAGAUGUGAAAUCCCCGGGCUCAACCGAGGAAGUGCAGUCGAAACUAUCUAGCUAGAGGACGGCAGAGGAAGGUGGAAUUCCAAGUGUAGAGGUGAAAUUCGUAGAUAUUUGGAGGAAUACCUGUGGCGAAGGCGGCCUUCUGGACCGGUCCUGACACUGAGACGCGGAAAAGCGUGGGGAGCAAACAGG
rnacentral:rRNA from 1 species